UACGAAGGGGGCUAGCGUUGCUCGGAAUCACUGGGCGUAAAGGGUGCGUAGGCGGGUCUUUAAGUCAGGGGUGAAAUCCUGGAGCUCAACUCCAGAACUGCCUUUGAUACUGAGGAUCUUGAGUUCGGGAGAGGUGAGUGGAACUGCGAGUGUAGAGGUGAAAUUCGUAGAUAUUCGCAAGAACACCAGUGGCGAAGGCGGCUCACUGGCCCGAUACUGACGCUGGAGGCACGAAAGCGUGGGGAGCAAACAGG
rnacentral:rRNA from 1 species